rnacentral:rRNA from 1 species
CACGUAGGGUGCGAGCGUUGUCCGGAAUUACUGGGCGUAAAGAGUGUGUAGGCGGUGCUCUAAGUCUGUUGUGAAAUCUCCCGGCUUAACUGGGAGGGUGCGGCGGAGACUGGAGUGCUAGAGUGUGGGAGAGGUAAGCGGAAUUCCUGGUGUAGCGGUGAAAUGCGUAGAUAUCUGCAGGAACACCUGUGGCGAAAGCGGCGCGCUGGACCACUACUGACGCUGAGGAACGAAAGCUAGGGGAGCAAACAGG